AAUCCUCCUCCUCCCACUCCUUUUCACUUGAGAGCAGGUUUAGGCGAGUGGAGAGUCCGGAGCGCGCCGGGGAGUCUGCGCCCUGUUUGGCGUUGGCAAACCCUGGUGUCAUCCCGGCUACCCAGGCCGGCCUGGCGUGCAGCUGCCCUGGUUGUGGCCCUGGAAUCCUCGCCGGGAGGAAGAAGGCGGCGGGCACGAGUAGGAGAGCCUCUCCAGCUACGGAGGAAGAGGGUUAAACCUGGAGAAGGGGAGACUCACCCUUGAAAAUGUUUGAGACUGUUCCUAGCAAGAAAGUGCUCAUUUUCCUUGGAGGUCCAGGUGUUGCUUGCAACAGAAACAGAGGCUUCUCGCAUUUUCUUGCACUGGCGAUGCACCUAGUCAGAGGUAGUGGAGUGAAAAAUAACUCUGGAGGGAAUAAGGACAUUCUUGGCAACCUUUCCAAAAAAGAGCUAGCCCAGACUGAGAGUAUGCAUCCUUGACUGACUAUUCAGCUCUUUAAAAAUUCUGUGUUGUUUGUCUUUUGUUGUAAUCUUGGUCGCCAGAACCAUCUAUAUACUGAUCUCUUUAAGGUACAGUUAACUUACAGUGUCUCACUUACAUGCGCUGCUGAGGUGAAGGUGUUUAAAAUCAAUAAGUGUAAGUAGUUUCCCUGGAAGAGAGAAGUAAAACGUACCAAUCACUCAGUGCUGGAAUAUUUUUAUGCUAAGCAUAAUUUCCUUCUUUAGUAGUUAGAGCAGUUUUUUAAAAAAAAUAGUUAACACGAUGCAGAAGUCAAACAGCAUGAUUCUGUUUCCGUAUUUUCCUCACUUUUUGGUAUGCUGCGGCACAUUUAGAACAUGAUCUGUCUGGAGGUUUUAUUCACAUGGUGGCCUGCCCUUCAGGGAGAACUUGCUUGCCUUCUUUCUUUGGCAGUUUGGAUUUGACCUAGCCCUGUGGUAUGUGCAAGUAGGAACAUCUACAAACGGUUAACUCUUUAAGUCUUCCUACGAUUUAUGUUCAGUUCAUUCACACACACACACACACACACACACACACACACACAAAAGCUUUGAUUGUAAUUAUGAACGUGAAUUAAAACUGUUUCAGGCCAUCAGAUUUAUGUAAAAGUUAGGCUUGUUUUGUUCAUUUUAAUAAAAGAAUAGUGACUUAAAAAUUACAGUCGUGAUAACAAAACUGUGAACAGCAGUGGCAUCUAUGUGGGUUUUUGUUUUUCUGAAGAUGUCGUAUUGACAAGCUUAUUUUGUAUCGGUUAUGCCCUUGCAUUGUUAAAAUAAUUGGACUGAUUUCUCCAGAACCAUAUUCCUUUACAGGCUCUGUAAAGACACUCUUGUCAUUCACAGACUCUGGCUGGAGCAAUGGGAAAACACUAGCAUGUGUAAUUACAUAGACUGGAAUAUUAAAUAUACUGUUUUGUGAUGAUAAACUACAAAAUUAUCGUCCCUGAGCUUUUCACCUACUGACUUAUAGGUUUGAGACAAAAAUACUAUACACUGGAACAUAAAGAACAUAUGUAUAUAUAGGCCACAAAACAUGAAAUCUGUUAUUCACUAAAUAUUGUGAAUAAAGUUAAAUUUAAUCGUGAAAAUUAUUUUGACACAUAAAAAGGGAGAAGGAUUGUGAAAAUGUGUUUUAUAUUAGUGAGUUAAGUGAUUUUAUACUAUUCAAAUUUAAGUGUAAAAAUCUACUGCAAUAAAUUAUUACAUUAGAAAUGUUUGUAUAUAUGAUUGAAAUGUAUGCUUACAUGUGCAAUGUCUUAUAGGAAUAAUAUAUGUAAGGUUCCUUGGCUAUAGUUUUUUCCAGUAUACAUUUACAAUAUUGUCUGUCUAGUGAUAUUAAAUGAGCCAAAUUUGAACACU
ensembl:lncRNA SOX21-AS1 SOX21 antisense divergent transcript 1